rfam:Papilio xuthus contig9574, whole genome shotgun sequence.
GGUAAAUUGGCUCAGUGGUCAAGCACUUGACUUGCAAUCUGCAGGUCCUGGGUUCGAAUCCCGCCAUGUACCA